ACACCCACAGUAUUAGUACACAACAGAACUUCAGUCGGUGCGUUCAUUUACUCCUGAUUAAUAUACUGGAUAUGACCACAGUUUCAUUCAUAUUAAGGCAAUAUUCAGGUACAGUUUUAUAAUAAAUCCAACUGUAUUAUAAAUACAAACUACCUCUGGACUGCCAACAUGGAGAGACAUAUUCUGCUCAUGAUUCUCAUUGUAGUUACAGGUGGAUUUGCUGACAGAAUUGGACCAGGAGAAGGAAAUACUAAUAUAAUGAAGGAAGAAGGAGAGUCUGUGACACUGAGCUGCACAUAUGAAACUAACAGCAAUGAUAUUUGGCUUUACUGGUUCAGACAGUAUCCAAAAGGAGAACCUCAGUAUUUACUGCUCAAAGGUGCUCGAUCACAGACUUAUGAGAAUAUACCAGACCGUCGGUUUCGGUCAACAACAUCCCAAUCAUCCACUGAAUUCAUUAUUGAUAAAGCAGCUCUGUCAGAUUCAGCUCUCUAUUAUUGUGCUCUAAGAGUAGUUGCCCAGUGA